UACGUAGGGUGCGAGCGUUGUCCGGAAUUAUUGGGCGUAAAGAGCUCGUAGGCGGUCAGUCGCGUCGGUCGUGAAAACCUGCAGCUUAACUGUGGGCUUGCGGUCGAUACGGGCAUGACUGGAGUUCGGCAGGGGAGACUGGAAUUCCUGGUGUGGCGGUGAAAUGCGCAGAUAUCAGGAGGAACACCGGUGGCGAAGGCGGGUCUCUGGGCCGAUACUGACGCUGAGGAGCGAAAGCGUGGGGAGCGAACAGG
rnacentral:rRNA from 1 species